rnacentral:rRNA from 1 species
AGCGAACGCUGGCGGCAGGCUUAACGCAUGCAAGUCGAGCGGGCGUAGCAAUACGUCAGCGGCAGACGGGUGAGUAACGCGUGGGAACGUACCUUUUGGUUCGGAACAACACAGGGAAACUUGUGCUAAUACCGGAUAAGCCCUUACGGGGAAAGAUUUAUCGCCGAAAGAUCGGCCCGCGUCUGAUUAGCUAGUUGGUAGGGUAAUGGCCUACCAAGGCGACGAUCAGUAGCUGGUCUGAGAGGAUGAUCAGCCACAUUGGGACUGAGACACGGCCCAAACUCCUACGGGAGGCAGCAGUGGGGAAUAUUGGACAAUGGGGGCAACCCUGAUCCGGCCAUGCCGCGUGAGUGAUGAAGGCCCUAGGGUUGUAAAGCUCUUUUGUGCGGGAAGAUAAUGACGGUACCGCAAGAAUAAGCCCCGGCUAACUUCGUGCCAGCCGCCGCAGUAA